rnacentral:rRNA from 1 species
AUUGAACGCUGGCGGCAUGCCUUACACGUGCAAGUCGAACGGCAGCACGGGAGCAAUCCUGGUGGCGAGUGGCGAACGGGUGAGUAAUAUAUCGGAACGUGCCCAGUCGCGGGGGAUAACGCAGCGAAAGCUGUGCUAAUACCGCAUACGAUCUAUGGAUGAAAGCGGGGGAUCGCAAGACCUCGCGCGAUUGGAGCGGCCGAUAUCAGAUUAGCUAGCUGGUGAGGUAAAGGCUCACCAAGGCGACGAUCUGUAGCUGGUCUGAGAGGACGACCAGCCACACUGGAACUGAGACACGGUCCAGACUCCUACGGGAGGCAGCAGUGGGGAAUUUUGGACACUGGGCGAAAGCCUGAUCCAGUAAUGCCGCGUGCAGGAUGAAGGCCUUCGGGUUGUAAACUGCUUUUGUACGGAACGAAACGGUGAGCUCUAAUACAGUUUGCUAAUGACGGUACCGUAAGAAUAAGCACCGGUUAACUACGUGCCAGCCGCCGCAGUAA